GAGACGCCGGCGUUUCCUUCCGGUCUUCUUCGCCGCGGUUGCCCCUCGCAUACCUUUGACUACCUUUGGCGAGUGAGGAGGCUCCUUGCCCAGUGUGGGGCUUGAAUUCAUGACCCUGAGAUCAAGAGUCAAAUGCUCUAUGAGCCAGCCAGUCCAAGCACAAAUGUGGAUCACUGAAGACAGUACUGGAAGCGCCAGUUGCAGGUACAUUGCAGUUAUCAUUAAAUGAGCCAGAAGGUAGAAAAACUUUGUAUUUUAUGGGGGGACUUGACUGGGCAGUACUAGUAGGAGAUGAAAUGAAUAGGGAACAAUGAGGUUAUUUAAAAAAAAAAAAAAAGAUCACUGCCCUUAUUUGUGUUGAACAAGUCAUGUUGAGAAGGUGGUUAUUUAAGAUAAGGAUGCUACAUUAAAGGUAUCAUAUAAUGCAGCAUGAAUACGUUAGAAUCAAGCUGCACCUAAGAAAAAAAUUUCCCUAGGUUACCUUUAAAAAAAAAUUAUGUGUUAUCUGCCAGUCACAGAGAGGAAAAGCACCUAAGGUGAACUUCCAAUUUAAUGAGGACCUUCAUCAGGACCACAAAGCCUGAAACAUUUGUUUUAAUGCAGAAACACAGCCUCUAGUCACGCUGGUUGAGUUUGGGAAAACUGGAGGGAUUUUUUUUGUUUUUUAUUUUAUUGAAUGAUAGGAUAUUGUUUCGAUUACUAAGGAUUCUAGAUCUUCAUACCAGCAUUAGAAUUGAACCACUUCCAAAUCCUAAGACACUUAAGUCCAAAGAGAAGCGAUAGCCAUACAAAUUAAUAUGUGGCCCUCUCCUUUCUGCUCUAAGGGAAUCUUCAAACCAGUAUCACAUUUAAGAGUCAAAGUGUUAAAUUCUUCAGCAUUCCUGACAACUAGAAAGCACAUUCACUGAAGGCUGAAGGUGAGGGAGCGGAUGGUUUAAUAUCUGUGAAGAAUGGCGCCAAUAGAGGAAAGAAAACCAUCCAGUCUCAGUAAGGAUUAAUGCAAAUUUGGCUAGAAAAGCCACCAGGCAUAAGCAACCUAACCACUACAGCAAUACUGGAAAUAAAAGAUAACCACACCUCUGAAACAGGUGCUAAAGCCACCAUGGGCCCAACAGGCCAGUUCUGUUUUGUAUAAAGAACUCUUGAAACUCCAAGAAAACAAGUAACUGAAUUUAAAAAUCAGCAAAAGACCUGAACAUACAUCUCACCAAAAAUAUACUGAUGGCAAGUAAGAUAUGAAAAGAUGUUCAACAUCAUUAUCAUGUCAUUAGAGGACUGCAAAUUAAAACACUGAUGCCACACCUAUUAAAAUGGCUAAAAUCCAAAAUGCUUGACAAUACCAAAUGCUAACAACAAUGUGGGGCAACAGGAACUCUUAUUUUUAUUGUUGUUGGCAGGAAUGCAACAUAGGAUAGUCACUUUGGAAGACAGCUUGGUGGUUUUUUACAAAGCUUUUCAUACAAUCCAGCAAUUGUACUCUGGACAUUCACCCAAUUGAGAUGAAAACUGAGGUCCACACAAAAACCUGUAAACAAAUGUUUACAGCAGUUUUAUUCACAACUGCCAAAACCUAGAAGCAACCAAGAUAUACUUCCAAUAGGCAAAUGGAUAAACUGUAGUAUAUCCAGACAUGAAAUAUUAGUCCUAAAAAAUUAUCAAGUCAUGAGAAGACAUGAAGGAAACUUAGACAUGCUAAGGGAAAGAAGCCAGUCUGAAAAGAUUCCACACUAUAUGAUUCCAAAUAUAUGACAUUCUGGAAAAGACAAAACUUUUACAAAGACAAUAAAAAGUAUAGUGGUUGCCAGGGAUUUGAGGGGUGGGGGUAAAGGAGUAGUGACGAUAGGUGAAGCAGAGGGGAUUUUUAGGGCAGUGUGACACUGUAUGACACUACAAUGGCAGAAAGAGGACAUGUAUUCACCAAAACCUAUAGAAUUGUAGAACACAAAAAGUGAUUCUUAAUAUAAACUAUGAACUUGAGUUAAUAAUGUAUCCGUACUGGUCAUUAACAAAUGUAGCUCCACUAAAUGUGAGAGGUUAAUAGAAGACACUGCAGGGGAGGGAAGUAUAUAGGAACUCUGUACUAUCAUCUCAAUUCUGUAAAACUAAAAAUCUUCCUUUAAAAAGUCUUAAUUUUUUUAAGUAAGUUCAUACCAUAUUUAGCUUUAUUAUUUACUCAGGAAUGAAUUUAAUAAUGUCUAACUUUACUUAAAUCCUUACUGACGAUUAAAGGCUAUAUAUCUUA